UACGGAGGAUCCAAGCGUUAUCCGGAUUUAUUGGGUUUAAAGGGUGCGUAGGCGGCUUAUUAAGUCAGGGGUGAAAGACGGUGGCUCAACCAUCGCAGUGCCUUUGAUACUGAUGAGCUUGAAUACACUAGAGGUAGGCGGAAUGUGACAAGUAGCGGUGAAAUGCAUAGAUAUGUCACAGAACACCGAUUGCGAAGGCAGCUGACUACAGGGAUAUUGACACUGAGGCACGAAAGCGUGGGGAUCAAACAGG
rnacentral:rRNA from 1 species